GGGGGUGCUCAACAGUAGAGCACAUGCUUGGCAUGCCUGAGGUCUGGGUUCAAUCCCCAGUACUUCCA
rnacentral:tRNA from 1 species